ACGGCCAUACCAUGCUGAAUAUACCGGUUCUCCUUAGAUCACCGAAGUCAAGCAUCAUUGGGCGCGGUCAGUAACGGUCUGUUGACCACCUGAGAACACCGCGUGCCGUUG